CCUACGGGGGGCAGCAGUAGGGAAUCUUCGGCAAUGGACGAAAGUCUGACGGAGCAACGCCGCGUGAGCGAUGAAGGUCUUCGGAUCGUAAAGCUCUGUUGUUAGGGAAGAAACCGUACCGAUCGAAUAGGUCGGUACCUUGACGGUACCUAACCAGAAAGCCACGGCUAACUACGUGCCAGCAGCCGCGGUAAUACGUAGGUGGCAAGCGUUGUCCGGAAUUAUUGGGCGUAAAGCGCGCGCAGGCGGUUUCUUAAGUCUGAUGUGAAAGCCCACGGCUCAACCGUGGAGGGUCAUCGGAAACUGGGAGACUCCGAGUGCAGAAGAGGAGAGCGGAAUUCCACGUGUAGCGGUGAAAUGCGUAGAUAUGUGGAGGAACACCAGUGGCGAAGGCGGCUCUCUGGUCUGUAACUGACGCUGAGGCGCGAAAGCGUGGGGAGCAAACAGGAUUAGAUACCCCAGUAGUC
rnacentral:rRNA from 1 species